ACCCUUUUUUUUACAAAUAUUAUUUAAAAACUUUAAUUUAAAAACAUCUCUCCACAUUAUGUGAUGUUAUCAUAUCCAAAGACUUCUUAGCUAUUACAAGUGCUAUCCUAAUAUAAUUAUGACCCUUAAUUUCAUAUUAUUAAUAGCAAGUAGACCAAGUAAGUAAAAGUAACAAACAGAAAAGCUUAAACAAUUUGAUUCGGUAGUGCUAAAAUGUGCACAGAAUUAUCACAAAACGUUUUAAAAACAUAGCUUAUAAGCACUUCCUUUUUGUAUACCGGAUACUCCAAAAAAAGCUUGUCUUACAAACAUCUCUCUACU